rnacentral:rRNA from 1 species
AGAGUUUGAUCCUGGCUCAGAACGAACGUUGAUGGCGUGCCUCAUACAUGCAAGUCGAGCGGAGUAGCAAUACUCAGCGGCGGACGGGUGAGUAACACGUAAACAAUCUGCCCUGAAGCGGGGAAUAACUAUCCCAACGGAUAGCUAAUACCGCAUAAUGAUGGAGACGGCAUCGUCUUUUCUCAAAAGGCUUCGGCCACUUCAGGAUGAGUUUGCGUCCCAUUAGCUUGUUGGCGGUGUAAUAGACCACCAAGGCGACGAUGGGUAUCCGGCCUGAGAGGGUGUACGGACACAUUGGGACUGAGAUACGGCCCAGACUCCUACGGGAGGCAGCAGUAGGGAAUUUUGCGCAAUGGAGGAAACUCUGACGCAGCAACGCCAUGUGUGGGAUGAAGCAUUUCGGUGUGUAAACCACUGUCAGCGGGGAAUAAAUGGUCGCUUCGGCGGCAGUUGAAUGUACCCGCAAAGGAAGCCCCGGCUAACUUCGUGCCAGCAGCCGCGGUAAUACGAGGGGGGCAAAUGUUGUUCGGAAUCACUGGGCGUAAAGGGAGCGUAGGCGGGCUCUUAAGUUAGGUGUUUAAUCCCGGGGCCCAACCCCGGACAGGCACCUAAAACUGGGAGUCUUGAAUAGUGGAGAGGUCGGCGGAAUUGGGGGUGUAGCGGUGGAAUGCGUAGAGAUCCCCAAGAACACCAGUUGCGAAGGCGGCCGACUGGACACAUAUUGACGCUGAGGCUCGAAAGCAUGGGGAGCAAACAGGAUUAGAUACCCUAGUAGUCC